UACGUAGGGUCCGAGCGUUGUCCGGAAUUAUUGGGCGUAAAGGGCUCGUAGGCGGUUUGUCGCGUCGGGAGUGAAAACACGGGGCUUAACCCCGUGCCUGCUUCCGAUACGGGCAGACUAGAGGUAUGCAGGGGAGAACGGAAUUCCUGGUGUAGCGGUGAAAUGCGCAGAUAUCAGGAGGAACACCGGUGGCGAAGGCGGGUCUCUGGGCAAUAACUGACGCUGAGGAGCGAAAGCGUGGGGAGCGAACAGG
rnacentral:rRNA from 1 species